UACGUAGGGUGCAAGCGUUAAUCGGAAUUACUGGGCGUAAAGCGUGCGCAGGCGGUUUUGUAAGUCUGUCGUGAAAUCCCCGGGCUCAACCUGGGAAUUGCGAUGGAGACUGCAAGGCUAGAAUCUGGCAGAGGGGGGUGGAAUUCCACGUGUAGCAGUGAAAUGCGUAGAGAUGUGGAGGAACACCGAUGGCGAAGGCAGCCCCCUGGGUUAACACUGACGCUCAGGCACGAAAGCGUGGGGAGCAAACAGG
rnacentral:rRNA from 1 species